rnacentral:sRNA from 1 species
AAGACAGAAAGUCCGUUGGAACCGUCUGCUGCACCCUGGUCUCUGGAGAUGAGGCAGGAGGGCUUGGGGACAGCUGGGGACACGGCCCAGAUGAUCCGGUCCCGGCAGAAGUGACUGGCGGGGACCAGGAUGCUGGAGGGUCAGCUCGAGGCCGGGGAGCCCAAGGAGGGCACCCACCCAGAGGACCCGUGCCCGGGAGCUGGGGCUGCCAUGGAGAAGACACCUGCAGCAGCCGAGGUCCCCAGGGAGGACGGCAAUGCCGGGGAGAUGCCGUCAUUACAGCAGCAGAUCACCAGACUCCACCAAGAGCUCGGGAGACAGCAGUCGCUGUGGGCUGAUGUUCACAGAAAACUCCAGAGUCAUAUGGAUGCCUUGAGGAAGCAGAACCGGGAGCUCCGAGAAGAGCUGAGAGAUCUGCAGCGGCAGCAGUGGGAAGCCGGGAAGAAACCAGCAGCGUCCCCACACGCGGGGCGAGAAUCACACACUCUGGCAUUGGAAUCUGCUUUUGGAAAAAUUUCACCUCUGUCAGCUGAUGAAGAGACAACGCCCAAAUACGCUGGCCGCAAGAGUCAGAGUGCCACUCUCCUGGGACAAAGAUCGUCAUCUAACCACUUAGCUCCUCCAAAGGUGACCCUUCGUGCUUAUCGUCUGUAAAGAGCAGCAGAGCUUCUGUAUGCAAACACACACAUCCCAUCAGCUCCUCACCACACAGUUUCACCUCCC